GAUGAACGCUGGCGGCGUGCCUAAUACAUGCAAGUCGAGCGAACAGACGAGGAGCUUGCUCCUCUGACGUUAGCGGCGGACGGGUGAGUAACACGUGGAUAACCUACCUAUAAGACUGGGAUAACUUCGGGAAACCGGAGCUAAUACCGGAUAAUAUAUUGAACCGCAUGGUUCAAUAGUGAAAGACGGUUUUGCUUUCACUUAUAGAUGGAUCCGCGCCGCAUUACCUAGUUGGUAAGGUAACGGCUUACCAAGGCAACGAUGCGUAGCCGACCUGCGAGGGUGAUCGGCCACACUGGAACUGAGACACGGUCCAGACUCCUACGGGAGGCAGCAGUAGGGAAUCUUCCGCAAAGGGCGAAAGCCUGACGGAGCAACGCCGCGUGAGUGAUGAAGGUCUUCGGAUCGUAAAACUCUGUUAUUAGGGAAGAACAAAUGUGUAAGUAACUAUGCACGUCUUGACGGUACCUAAUCAGAAAGCCACGGCUAACUACGUG
rnacentral:rRNA from 1 species